rnacentral:rRNA from 1 species
GAUGAACGCUGGCGGCGUGCCUAAUACAUGCAAGUCGAGCGAACAGACGAGGAGCUUGCUCCUCUGACGUUAGCGGCGGACGGGUGAGUAACACGUGGAUAACCUACCUAUAAGACUGGGAUAACUUCGGGAAACCGGAGCUAAUACCGGUUAAUAUAUUGAACCGCAUGGUUCAAUAGUGAAAGACGGUUUUGCUGUCACUUAUAGAUGGAUCCGCGUCGCAUUAGCUAGUUGGUGAGGUAACGGCUUACCAAGGCAACGAUGCGUAGGCGACCUGAGAGGAAGGGACAGAAAAUUGGAACAGAGAAACGGGGCAAACUCGUAGGGGAGGAAGAAGUGAGGAAGAUUGGUAAAUGGGAGGAAGACUGAAAGAGAAAAGUAGAGAGCAGGAAGACGGCUCUCCGGGGGGUAAACGGCUUUUAGUUGGGAAUAAAACGGGGCUCGUGAGCCCCCUUGCAUGUACCAAAAGAAAAAGGAAGGGCUAAUUCCGUG